rnacentral:rRNA from 1 species
AUUGAACGCUGGCGGCAUGCCUUACACAUGCAAGUCGAACGGCAGCACGGGUGCUUGCACCUGGUGGCGAGUGGCGCACGGGUGAGUAAUACAUCGGAACAUGUCCUGUAGUGGGGGAUAGCCCGGCGAAAGCCGGAUUAAUACCGCAUACGAACUACGGAUGACAGCGGGGGACCUUCGGGCCUCGCGCUAUAGGGUUGGCCGAUGGCGGAUUAGCUAGUUGGUGGGGUAAAGGCCUACCAAGGCGACGAUCAGUAGCUGGUCUGAGAGGACGACCAGCCACACUGGGACUGAGACACGGCCCAGACUCCUACGGGAGGCAGCAGUGGGGAAUUUUGGGCAAUGGGCGAAAGCCUGAUCCAGCAAUGCCGCGUGUGUGAAGAAGGCCUUCGGGUUGUAAAACACUUUUGUCCGGAAAGAAAUCCUUGGCCCUAAUACGGUCGGGGGAUGACGGUACCGGAAGAAUAAGCACCGGCUAACUACGUG